rnacentral:rRNA from 1 species
GACGAACGCUGGCGGCGUGCUUAACACAUGCAAGUCGAACGGUGACCCACCUUCGGGUGGCGAUCAGUGGCGAACGGGUGAGUAACACGUGGGCAACCUGCCCCUAGCUCCGGGAUAACCUCGGGAAACCGAGGCUAAUACCGGAUAUCACUCCGAGCGGCAUCACUCGGAGUUGAAAGGAUUCUGGCUAGGGAUGGGCCCGCGGCCUAUCAGCUUGUUGGUGGGGUAAUGGCCUACCAAGGCGACGACGGGUAGCCGGCCUGAGAGGGCGACCGGCCACACUGGGACUGAGACACGGCCCAGACUCCUACGGGAGGCAGCAGUGGGGAAUAUUGCGCAAUGGGCGAAAGCCUGACGCAGCGACGCCGCGUGA